UCGGGAUUGUUAUUGAUUAUAGGUAUGGUAUAGAAGGACCAGUGUACUUAACAAUGAGAGGUGAGAAAGGAGGUGGAGAAUGGGUUGUGGAUGAGCAGCAGCAGAAGAUAAAAAAGAUUGAUGGAUCGAUUGCUUAUGGUGUUCUUCAGACCGUAAAGAUCCACAUGGAGGUUGUCGAACCACAACCCAACCGCCCUAAACUUCAACUCACUCUCAUUUAGAAGGUCAUCUUAUUUCAGACAGAUCUUAAUAGGAAAAAGAAACUCCCGAAUUUAACAAACAUUUCUUGGCUUGAUCGAUACUCAAAUCCCAUGUGAGAUGUCAAUAUCAUCGUUAUAAAGAUUAUUCGCCCAGAUUUGGAGUUUAGGGGCAUGUGAUUUGUAUUAUUCAGUGAUAUAUUUUAUCUUAUUAGAUUAAGUUUGAGGACUGAAUAUGUCACCACUUACGUCAACGAGACAAAAAGUUGUUAUGGUAGUUCGAUGUCAAGAAACUUGGACCAAUUUCAUUAUUUUAUAUACUUCAAAAUUUUAAAUGAAAAAA